UUUUCCUGUCUUCAUUUCCCUU
rnacentral:miRNA from 1 species